rnacentral:rRNA from 1 species
CACGUAGGGAGCAAGCGUUGUCCGGAUUUAUUGGGCGUAAAGAGCUCGUAGGUGGUUCGGUAAGUCAGGUGUGAAACCUCCAGGCUCAACCUGGAGACGCCACUUGAUACUGCUGUGACUGGAGUCCGGUAGGGGAGCGUGGAAUUCCUGGUGUAGCAGUGAAAUGCGCAGAUAUCAGGAGGAACACCAGCGGCGAAGGCGGCGCUCUGGGCCGGUACUGACACUGAGGAGCGAAAGCGUGGGUAGCAAACAGG